rnacentral:rRNA from 7 species
UGACGGCAAUAGCGCCGUGGAACCACCUGAUCCCAUGCCGAACUCAGAAGUGAAACGCGGUAGCGCCGAUGGUAGUGUGGCAUUCGCCAUGCGAGAGUAGGACACUGUCAGGCA